rnacentral:rRNA from 1 species
GGCCGCGGGAAUUCGAUUCAGGCCUAACACAUGCAAGUCGAGCGAGCUUGCCUAGAUGAUUUUAGUGCUUGCACUAAAUGAAACUAGAUACAAGCGAGCGGCGGACGGGUGAGUAACACGUGGGUAACCUGCCCAAGAGACUGGGACAACACCUGGAAACAGAUGCUAAUACCGGAUAACAACACUAGACGCAUGUCUAGAGUUUGAAAGAUGGUUCUGCUAUCACUCUUGGAUGGACCUGCGGUGCAUUAGCUAGUUGGUAAGGUAACGGCUUACCAAGGCAAUGAUGCAUAGCCGAGUUGAGAGACUGAUCGGCCACAUUGGGACUGAGACACGGCCCAAACUCCUACGGGAGGCAGCAGUAGGGAAUCUUCCACAAUGGACGAAAGUCUGAUGGAGAAGGGCCGCGUGAGUGAAGAAGGGUUUCGGCUCGUAAAUUAAGGUUGGUAGUGAAGAAAGAUAGAGGUAGUAACUGGCCUUUAUUGACGGUAAUACUAGAA